UACGUAGGGUGCGAGCGUUAAUCGGAAUUACUGGGCGUAAAGCGUGCGCAGGCGGCUUUGUAAGCCAGGUGUGAAAUCCCCGGGCUCAACCUGGGAAUGGCAUUUGGGACUGCAAGGCUGGAGUGUGGCAGAGGAGACUGGAAUUCCUGGUGUAGCAGUGAAAUGCGUAGAUAUCAGGAGGAAUACCGAUGGCGAAGGCAGGUCUCUGGGCUGACACUGACGCUCAUGCACGAAAGCGUGGGGAGCAAACAGG
rnacentral:rRNA from 1 species